ACGCUCGACACCUACGGGAGGCAGCAGUCGGGAAUAUUGCGCAAUGGAGGAAACUCUGACGCAGUGACGCCGCGUAUGGGAAGAAGGUUUUCGGAUUGUAAACCAUUUUAGACAGGGAAGAAAAAAGACAGUACCUGUAGAAUAAGCUCCGGCUAACUACGUGCCAACAGCCGCGGUAAUCUGAGCGGGCUGGCAAGGC
rnacentral:rRNA from 1 species